rnacentral:misc_RNA from 1 species
GGUUAAUUCUCGCCCAUCAUCUUCCCUGUGUUGAUGAUCUGGGCGGAUCUGGCUUUCUCAGCUCUCACGAGCUGGGUUAGCUGAAGUACAGAGGUUAAUGCAUGGACCCGUUAAGGGCUGCAGCUGGUUAGGCAGUGAUGCUAUCGAUUAGCUGUUGGUCUGGGAACUGCGUUUGACCCUCCACAAGGAAACUUAAUUAUUU